GAUGAACGCUGGCGGCGUGCUUAACACAUGCAAGUCGAACGGGAAACCUUUUAUUGAAGCUUCGGCAGAUUUAGCUGGUUUCUAGUGGCGGACGGGUGAGUAACGCGUGGGUAACCUGCCUUGUACAGGGAGAUAACAGUCAGAAAUGACUGCUAAUACCGCAUAAGCGCACAGGACCGCAUGGUCCAGUGUGAAAAACUCCGGUGGUAUAAGAUGGACCCGCGUUGGAUUAGCUUGUUGGUGGGGUAACGGCCCACCAAGGCGACGAUCCAUAGCCGGCCUGAGAGGGUGAACGGCCACAUUGGGACUGAGACACGGCCCAGACUCCUACGGGAGGCAGCAGUGGGGAAUAUUGCACAAUGGGGGAAACCCUGAUGCAGCGACGCCGCGUGAAGGAAGAAGUAUCUCGGUAUGUAAACUUCUAUCAGCAGGGAAGAAAAUGACGGU
rnacentral:rRNA from 1 species